GGUUAGCUCAGUUGGUUAGAGCGUGGUGCUAAUAACGCCAAGGUCGCGGGUUCGAUCCCCGUACUGGCCAAGUAUUCUCUGUGGCUUUUAUCACCAGAAUGGAUAGUAACCCAGACAUCGAUCUAAACGUGUACCUGUGUGUUUCUCCAGGCUUAACUUUGCCCCGAGAAAACGGAUCUGUGAAUUUGGUGCGCCCUCGCUUACUCGACAGCGGUUAAUUUGAACGGGGACGUUUCUUUCCGCUGCCUCCAAGGCAUACCCACAUCCUACCCGUAAAACAAAGGGGCUAUAGGCACCUUACAGUGACAGAGGUACGUUACGGUUGGAGGCUUUUGUGAUUUUUGUCCUCCUCUGCCCCGGGGAAAUUUUCUUGGAGUAAAAUACUGAAU
rnacentral:tRNA from 10 species